AUUGAACGCUGGCGGCAGGCCUAACACAUGCAAGUCGAGCGGAUGAAGGGAGCUUGCUCCUGGAUUCAGCGGCGGACGGGUGAGUAAUGCCUAGGAAUCUGCCUGGUAGUGGGGGAUAACGUCCGGAAACGGGCGCUAAUACCGCAUACGUCCUGAGGGAGAAAGUGGGGGAUCUUCGGACCUCACGCUAUCAGAUGAGCCUAGGUCGGAUUAGCUAGUUGGUGGGGUAAAGGCCUACCAAGGCGACGAUCCGUAACUGGUCUGAGAGGAUGAUCAGUCACACUGGAACUGAGACACGGUCCAGACUCCUACGGGAGGCAGCAGUGGGGAACAUUGGACAAUGGGCGAAAGCCUGAUCCAGCCAUGCCGCGUGUGUGAAGAGGGUCUUCGGAUUGUAAAGCACUUUAAGUUGGGAGGAAGGGCAGUAAGUUAAUACCUUGCUGUUUUGACGUUACCAACAGAAUAAGCACCGGCUAACUUCGUG
rnacentral:rRNA from 1 species